CGUGCCUAAUACAUGCAAGUCGAGCGAACAGACGAGGAGCUUGCUCCUCUGACGUCAGCGGCGGACGGGUGAGUAACACGAGGAUAACCCACCCAUAAGACUGGGAUAACUUCGGGAAACCGGAGCUAAUACCGGAUAAUAUAUUGAACCGCAUGGUUCGAUAGUGAAAGACGGUUUUGCUGUCAAUGAUAGAAGGAUCCGCGCCGCUUGAGCUAGUUGGUAAGGUAACGGCUGACCAAGGCGACGAAGCGUAGCCGACCUGAGAGGGUGAUUGGCCACACUGGAACUGAGACACGGUCCAGACUCCUACGGGAGGCAGCAGUAGGGAAUCUUCCGCAAUGGGCGAAAGCCCGACGGAGCAACGCCGCGUGAGUGAUGAAGGUCUUCGGAUCGUAAAACUGUGUUAU
rnacentral:rRNA from 1 species